rnacentral:rRNA from 1 species
UACAGAGGGUGCAAGCGUUAAUCGGAAUUACUGGGCGUAAAGCGCGCGUAGGUGGUUCGUUAAGUUGGAUGUGAAAUCCCCGGGCUCAACCUGGGAACUGCAUUCAAAACUGUCGAGCUAGAGUAUGGUAGAGGGUGGUGGAAUUUCCUGUGUAGCGGUGAAAUGCGUAGAUAUAGGAAGGAACACCAGUGGCGAAAGCGGCUUCCUGGUCCGACACCGACGUUCAGGCACGAAAGCGUGGGGAGCAAACAGG